GACGAACGCUGGCGGCGUGCUUAACACAUGCAAGUCGAACGAAGAGCGAUGGAAGCUUGCUUCCAUCAAUCUUAGUGGCGAACGGGUGAGUAACGCGUAAUCAACCUGCCCUUCAGAGGGGGACAACAGUUGGAAACGACUGCUAAUACCGCAUACGAUCUAACCUUGGCAUCGAGGAUGGAUGAAAGGUGGCCUCUAUUUAUAAGCUAUCACUGAAGGAGGGGAUUGCGUCUGAUUAGCUAGUUGGAGGGGUAACGGCCCACCAAGGCGAUGAUCAGUAGCCGGUCUGAGAGGAUGAACGGCCACAUUGGGACUGAGACACGGCCCAGACUCCUACGGGAGGCAGCAGUGGGGAAUCUUCCGCAAUGGACGAAAGUCUGACGGAGCAACGCCGCGUGAGUGAUGACGGCCUUCGGGUUGUAAAGCUCUGUUAAUCGGGACGAAAGGCCUUCUUGCGAAUAGUUAGAAGGAUUGACGGUACCGGAAUAGAAAGCCACGGCUAACUACGUG
rnacentral:rRNA from 1 species